rnacentral:rRNA from 1 species
UACAGAGGUCCCAAGCGUUGUUCGGAUUCACUGGGCGUAAAGGGUGCGUAGGCGGUCGGGUAAGUCUGAUGUGAAAUCUCACAGCUUAACUGUGAAACUGCAUUGGAUACUAUCCGGCUCGAGGAAUGGAGGGGAGACUGGAAUACUUGGUGUAGCAGUGAAAUGCGUAGAUAUCAAGUGGAACACCAGUGGCGAAGGCGAGUCUCUGGACAUUUCCUGACGCUGAGGCACGAAAUCCAGGGGAGCAAACGGC